rnacentral:rRNA from 1 species
GCAGUCGCCGCGGUAAUACGAAGGGUGCAAGCGUUACUCGGAAUUACUGGGCGUAAAGCGUGCGUAGGUGGUGGUUUAAGUCCGUUGUGAAAGCCCUGGGCUCAACCUGGGAAUUGCAGUGGAUACUGGGUCACUAGAGUGUGGUAGAGGAUAGUGGAAUUUCCGGUGUAGCAGUGAAAUGCGUAGAGAUCGGAAGGAACAUCUGUGGCGAAGGCGACUAUCUGGGCCAACACUGACACUGAGGCACGAAAGCGUGGGGAGCAAACAGGAUUAGAUACCCCGGUAGUCCCUGUCUCUUAUAC